rnacentral:rRNA from 1 species
GAUCCUGGCUUAGAUUGAACGCUGGCGGCGUGCUUAACACAUGCAAGUCGCGCGUGAAAGGACUUCGGUCCGAGUAAAGCGGCGCACGGGUGAGUAACGCGUGGAUGAUCUACCCAUGAGUUAGGAAUAACGGCUGGAAACGGUCGCUAAUACCAAAUACGCUCCGAUUUCAACUUCGGGGGAAAGGUGGCCUCUGCUUGCAAGCUACUGCUCAUGGAUGAGUCCGCGUCCCAUUAGCUAGUUGGUGGGGUAACGGCCCACCAAGGCGACGAUGGGUAGCCGGUCUGAGAGGAUGACCGGCCACACUGGGACUGGAACACGGCCCAGACUCCUACGGGAGGCAGCAGUGGGGAAUAUUGCGCAAUGGGCGAAAGCCUGACGCAGCGACGCCGCGUGAGGGAUGAAAGGUCCUCGGAUCGUAAACCUCUGUCAGGAGGGAAGAACCGCCACGGUGCUAAUCAGCCGUGGUCUGACGGUACCUCCAAAGGAAGCACCGGCUAACUCCGUGCCAGCAGCAGC